rnacentral:rRNA from 1 species
UACGUAGGGUGCAAGCGUUAAUCGGAAUUACUGGGCGUAAAGCGUGUGCAGGCGGUUAUGCAAGACAGAGGUGAAAUCCCCGGGCUCAACCUGGGAACUGCCUUUGUGACUGCAUAGCUAGAGUACGGUAGAGGGGGAUGGAAUUCCGCGUGUAGCAGUGAAAUGCGUAGAUAUGCGGAGGAACACCGAUGGCGAAGGCAAUCCCCUGGACCUGUACUGACGCUCAUGCACGAAAGCGUGGGGAGCAAACAGG